UGAACGCUGGCGGCGUGCUUAACACAUGCAAGUCGUGCGGUAACAGGCGUAGCAAUACGUGCUGACGAGCGGCGAACGGGUGCGUAAUACAUGGGAAUCUGCCCUUUAGUGGGGAAUAACCCGGCGAAAGCCGGGCUAAUGCCGCAUAAGAUCUUCGGAUGAAAGCGGGGGAUCGUAAGACCUCGCGCUGAUGGAUGAGCCCAUGUCGGAUUAGCUAGNGGUGAGGUAACGGCUCACCAAGGCGACGAUCCGUAGCUGGUCUGAGAGGACGGCCAGCCACACUGGGACUGAGACACGGUCCAGACUCCUACGGAGGCAGCAGUGGGAAUUUUGGACAAUGGGCGCAAGCCUGAUCCAGCCAUGCCGCGUGAGUGAAG
rnacentral:rRNA from 1 species